rnacentral:rRNA from 1 species
UACGAAGGGUGCAAGCGUUAAUCGGAAUUACUGGGCGUAAAGCGUGCGCAGGCGGUGAUGUAAGACAGGUGUGAAAUCCCCGGGCUUAACCUGGGAACUGCAUUUGUGACUGCAUCGCUGGAGUGUGGCAGAGGGGGGUGGAAUUCCGCGUGUAGCAGUGAAAUGCGUAGAGAUGCGGAGGGACACCGAUGGCGAAGGCAGCCCCCUGGGCUGACACUGACGCUCAGGCACGAAAGCGUGGGGAGCAAACAGG